CUGUUGGAGGUGCUGGGGACAAACAGAAAUCAUGCCUAGGAGGGGUCACACCUGAGUUCUUCAACAGUACAUCCAGCCAGAAGCCCCUUCAUCUGCAUUCAUCACAGCUCUCCUCGUCCUGCCUGGCUAGAGGGCUCUUCCUAUCUCUCUUCCCCUCAGCAGGGCACUGCAUGAAUGUGGCCAGAAAAAGCUGGGACUUGAUGUCACGCAAACCUGAUGUCAUGAAGACACCAGGACUUGCAAGGUGAGGAAACUGAGGCCCACUGAAAGAGCUGGUUUGAACAGAGCAGUUUGAGUCCCAGGACUACAUUCUCAGCUGUUCUGUUGCACCGCAGGAAGAGGGAGAAUGUAUGUUGAGGUUCCAAGUCAUGAGAAGGCAGCCCUGGUGGGAGAGAAGAGACACUUGGUACUGAAGGGGUUGAUGUGCCGAAAUCUAGGAGAGGACGACUGCUCCCAGGCCUGGUGUCCCAGGUUUCUUAAUAAAGAUUUUCAGAAAUGCUGGCUGCUCAAGGGUGGGUUGUCUGCAGCCUGAAGAUCUUGGGAGGAUCGACAUUAAAGGAUCUGAUAAGUGGCCAUCUGUCUGGCUAUUAAAAUCCCAUCAGCCUCCUUGGGAGAAUGCUCGCUUCCCCCACGCCUGCCAUCCCAAAGGGGGUCUUGGAGCCAUGAGCUCGGAGCAGCCCAGGUCCUACAUGGGGAAAGCACUCUGCUCUCCACUCUUCUGGAGGCCUCCUGUCUCCCCUGCCUGGUCUUUCCCUGCUGCGUAGAUGAGCAACUCUGUGAUUUAUCUCCAGGUCCCACAUUAAUA